GGGUCAACAAUGACACCCCAGCUGCAUUCCCUGGAGCUGAACAAAAUGGUGAGAAUGCUAAGGCAUCAUUCCCAGCAGACCUGAGGUCC
ensembl:snoRNA SNORD116 Small nucleolar RNA SNORD116